AAAUUGAAGAGUUUGAUCAUGGCUCAGAUUGAACGCUGGCGGCAGGCCUAACACAUGCAAGUCGAACGGUAACAGGAAGCAGCUUGCUGCUUUGCUGACGAGUGGCGGACGGGUGAGUAAUGUCUGGGAAACUGCCUGAUGGAGGGGGAUAACUACUGGAAACGGUGGCUAAUACCGCAUAACGUCGCAAGACCAAAGAGGGGGACCUUCGGGCCUCUUGCCAUCAGAUGUGCCCAGAUGGGAUUAGCUGGUUGGUGAGGUAACGGCUCACCAAGGCGACGAUCCCUAGCUGGUCUGAGAGGAUGACCAGCCACACUGGAACUGAGACACGGUCCAGACUCCUACGGGAGGCAGCAGUGGGGAAUAUUGCACAAUGG
rnacentral:rRNA from 1 species